GGGGAAUUUUACGCAAUGGGCGAAAGCCUGACGUAGCGACACCGCGUGAGCGAAGAAGCCCCUUGGGGUGUAAAGCUCUGUCAGCUGGAACGAAAAAAAUGACGGUACCAGCAGAGGAAGCAUCGGCUAACUACGUGCCAGCAGCCGCGGUAAGACGUAGGAUGCAAGCGUUGUCCGGAUUUAUUGGGCGUAAAGAGUUCGUAGGUGGUUUGUUAAGUUUGGUGUUAAAGAUUGGGGCUCAACCCUGAAACUGCACUGAAUACUGGCAGACUCGAGUGUGGUAGAGGCUAGUGGAAUUCCCAGUGUAGCGGUGAAAUGCGUAGAUAUUGGGAAGAACACCGGUGGCGUAGGCGACUAGCUGGGCCAUAACUGACACUGAGGAACGAAAGCCAGGGGAGCGAAUG
rnacentral:rRNA from 1 species